rnacentral:rRNA from 1 species
UACGUAGGGUGCGAGCGUUAAUCGGAAUUACUGGGCGUAAAGCGUGCGCAGGCGGUUUGGUAAGACAGAUGUGAAAUCCCCGGGCUUAACCUGGGAAUUGCAUUUGUGACUGCCCGGCUAGAAUCUGGCAGAGGGGGGUAGAAUUCCACGUGUAGCAGUGAAAUGCGUAGAGAUGUGGAGGAAUACCGAUGGCGAAGGCAGUCCCCUGGGCCAAGAUUGACGCUCAUGCACGAAAGCGUGGGGAGCAAACAGG